UACAGAGGGUGCAAGCGUUGUUCGGAAUUACUGGGCGUAAAGGGCGCGUAGGCUGUGCUGUAAGUCAGGCGUGAAAGCCCCGGGCUCAACCUGGGAAUUGCGCUUGAUACUGCGGCGCUGGAAGGUGGGAGAGGAUGGCGGAAUUCCCAGUGUAGAGGUGAAAUUCGUAGAUAUUGGGAAGAACACCGGUGGCGAAGGCGGCCAUCUGGCCCAUUUUUGACGCUGAGGCGCGAAAGCGUGGGGAGCAAACAGG
rnacentral:rRNA from 1 species